GAUGAACGCUGGCGGCGUGCCUAAUACAUGCAAGUCGAGCGAAUGGAUUAAGAGCUUGCUCUUAUGAAGUUAGCGGCGGACGGGUGAGUAACACGUGGGUAACCUGCCCAUAAGACUGGGAUAACUCCGGGAAACCGGGGCUAAUACCGGAUAACAUUUUGAACCGCAUGGUUCGAAAUUGAAAGGCGGCUUCGGCUGUCACUUAUGGAUGGACCCGCGUCGCAUUAGCUAGUUGGUGAGGUAACGGCUCACCAAGGCCACGAUGCGUAGCCGACCUGACAGGGUGAUCGGCCACACUGGGACUUAAACACGGCCCAGACUCCUACGGGAGGCAGCAGUAGGGAAUCUUCCGCAAUGGACGAAAGUCUGACGGAGCAACGCCGCGUGAGUGAUGAAGGCUUUCGGGUCGUAAAACUCUGUUGUUAGGGAAGAACAAGUGCUAGCUGAAUAAGCUGGCACCUUGACGGUACCUAACCAGAAAGCCACGGCUAACUACGUGCCAGCCGCCGCGGUAA
rnacentral:rRNA from 1 species